rnacentral:rRNA from 1 species
CCUACGGGUGGCAGCAGUGGGGAAUAUUGGGCAAUGGGCGCAAGCCUGACCCAGCAACGCCGCGUGAAGGAAGAAGGCUUUCGGGUUGUAAACUUCUUUUCUGGGGGACGAACAAAUGACGGUACCCCAGGAAUAAGCCACGGCUAACUACGUGCCAGCAGCCGCGGUAAUACGUAGGUGGCAAGCGUUAUCCGGAUUUAUUGGGUGUAAAGGGCGUGUAGGCGGGAAUGCAAGUCAGAUGUGAAAACUAUGGGCUCAACCCAUAGCCUGCAUGUGAAACUGUUUUUCUUGAGUACUGGAGAGGCAGACGGAAUUCCUAGUGUAGCGGUGAAAUGCGUAGAUAGUAGGAGGAACACCAGUGGCGAAGGCGGUCUGCUGGACAGCAACUGACGCUGAGGCGCGAAAGCGUGGGGAGCAAACAGGAUUAGAUACCCGAGUAGUC